rnacentral:rRNA from 1 species
AUUGAACGCUGGCGGCAGGCUUAACACAUGCAAGUCGAGCGGGGGAGGUUGCUUCGGUAACUGACCUAGCGGCGGACGGGUGAGUAAUGCUUAGGAAUCUGCCAUUUAGUGGGGGACAACAUUCCGAAAGGAAUGCUAAUACCGCAUACGUCCUACGGGAGAAAGCAGGGGAUCUUCGGACCUUGCGCUAAAUGAUGAGCCUAAGUCGGAUGAGCUAGUUGGUGGGGUAAAGGCCUACCAAGGCGACGAUCUGUAGCGGGUCUGAGAGGAUGAUCCGCCACACUGGGACUGGGACACGGCCCAGACUCCUACGGGAGGCAGCAGUGGGGAAUAUCGGACAAUGGGCGGAAGCCUGAUCCAGCCAUGCCGCCUGUGUGAAGAAGGCCUUCGGGUUGUAAAGCACUUUCAGCGAGGAGGAAGGGGUGUGUGUUAAUAGUACACACCUUUGACGUUACUCGCAGAAGAAGCACCGGCUAACUCUGUGCCAGCCGCCGCAGUAAUAC